GAUGAACGCUAGCGGGAGGCCUAACACAUGCAAGCCGAGCGGUAUUGUUUCUUCGGAAAUGAGAGAGCGGCGUACGGGUGCGGAACACGUGUGCAACCUGCCUUUAUCUGGGGGAUAGCCUUUCGAAAGGAAGAUUAAUACUCCAUAAUAUAUUGAACGGCAUCGUUUAAUAUUGAAAGCUCCGGCGGAUAGAGAUGGGCACGCGCAAGAUUAGCUAGUUGGUGAGGUAACGGCUCACCAAGGCGAUGAUCUUUAGGGGGCCUGAGAGGGUGAUCCCCCACACUGGUACUGAGACACGGGACCAGACUCCUACGGGGAGGCAGCAGUGAGGAAUAUUGGUCAAUGGGUGCAAGCCUGAACCAGCCAUCCCGCGUGAAGGACGACUGCCCUAUGGGUUGUAAACUUCUUUUGUAUAGGGAUAAACCUACCCUCGUGAGGGUAGCUGAAGGUACUAUACGAAUAAGCACCGGCUAACUCCGUGCCAGCCGCCGCGGUAA
rnacentral:rRNA from 1 species